rnacentral:rRNA from 1 species
UUGGUGCCUUCGGGAACUGUGAGACAGGUGCUGCAUGGCUGUCGUCAGUUCGUGUUGUGAAAUGUUGGGUUAAGUCCCGCAACGAGCGCAACCCUUAUCCUUUGUUGCCAGCGGUUCGGCCGGGAACUCAAAGGAGACUGCCAGUGAUAAACUGGAGGAAGGUGGGGAUGACGUCAAGUCAUCAUGGCCCUUACGACCAGGGCUACACACGUGCUACAAUGGCAUAUACAAAGAGAAGCGACCU